GAUGAACGCUAGCGGCAGGCUUAAUACAUGCAAGUCGAGGGGCAGCAGGGGUAGCAAUACCCGCUGGCGACCGGCAAACGGGUGCGGAACACGUACAGAACCUUCCUUUAAGCGGGGGAUAGCCCAUAGAAAUGUGGAUUAAUACCCCAUAGUAAUAUUUAAUGGCAUCAUUGAAUAUUUAAAGAUUUAUCACUUAAAGAUGGCUGUGCGGCUGAUUGGGUAGUUGGUGCGGGAACGGCCCACCAAGCCGGCGAUCAGUAACUGGUGUGAGAGCACGACCAGUCACACGGGCACUGAGACACGGGCCCGACUCCUACGGGAGGCAGCAGUAAGGAAUAUUGGUCAAUGGACGCAAGUCUGAACCAG
rnacentral:rRNA from 1 species